rnacentral:piRNA from 1 species
UGAUAGAUGGAGUAUGUCAGGGU